GGGGGGGAUGUGUAAGUUUCAUUUGCUUCCUAGUUAAAUGCAGCUCGGAGCCGCCGGCCGGCCCGCGGCAGGAGACACAGUCCACGCCUGAGCAGAGGAGAAAGAGGAACCAGGAAGGUAGAGGUUGACAAUCAGCCCUUUCGAGGCCAUUGGAAGAGCGGGCGGAAAGGAAAAAUAGGUGAGGAAGGGGCUUUUCUCCUGCCCCAGGCAUCUGAAAUCGGAACCAAACCAAAAAUCGCCAGGCAAGAUGAAAACUUUUGUUUUGUUUCAA